GAAAAAGAUCAAUUAAUGAUCUUCUUAGAACUUAGAAUGAUACAGACUUUUGGGUCCAUACACCAAUUUGCAAAAGAUAAAGAAGACGUGUUGUUUGUAACAUUGGUAAACCAAAUCCAAGAUCUAGUUUGAAUUACAUCAAAUAAAUGCACAAAGCUUGGAGUCUUCUCGAAAAAAAUCGCUUCAUUUUGCAUAAUCCAAAUAGACCAA
rnacentral:lncRNA from 1 species